CCUCGGAACAGCACUUGCCGUCCAGGAUCAAUCAUUGCGAAGAAUCAACUAAAAUUGGCAGAGCAGAGAGUUGUGUAGCGAAACUUAUAGUUGGACGCCUGGGAAUCCUAUAGUCGGAGGCAGAGAACAAAAACCGGAUUCAUGCAAAAGCAGGCUCAUUCUUCCAAAUUUAGGUGAUUUCGAGCAACAGCACUUGCCGCAUAGGAUCAAUCAUUGCUCCAAAUCAAUUAAAUCUGGAAGAAGAGAGAACUUUUGCUUGAACUUUUUUUUUUCGUAAUCUGAUAACUCGAUUAUAGAGAGCUCCAUAAUAAUAAAAAAAAAAACUUCGUUUUUUUUUCACCCGAUCCGGGAUAAUUGUUACCUAUGUGAUAGGUCACAAUCCAAAUUUGCUUUUUUGUAUUUUUUCUUUUGUUUUUUAUAUAUUUUUUUCUUCUUUUUUGUAAAUAUCCAUACUUUGUUAACAUGUUCAUAGUUUUGUAAAUACUCGUAAAUUUGUAAAUAAUUGUGCUUUCAACCCUAGUUUAAAUAUAAAUAUCUUAAUAUGUAAAUGUAAUCCCUUUCCCCCUAUCCUUCGAUACCAGUUACCCUUAAUAUAACCAAUGAAUUAAUUAAAAAAAAAAAUGAAUUUGUAAAUAAAAAUAAAUUAAAUAUUUGAAUUCAAAUCCCCGUCCUAUAAAACCCUACAUCAUCAUUCCUUCCUUAUGCACUGCAUCAUGGCGCCUUGUACCAACUGUGCGGAAACAAAUCCCUCCCGGGAAAUGUUCCACCCAUGGGUUAUGCUGCAUCAUCCUAAGCGAUAUAAAAAGGAUAUGCAGGCCAAGGCAAAGGAUCUUUUUGGAACUAAAUUCCUAACCGUGUCUCGUGAGUGCAACCGCCGAUCUCUCAUACCAGUGCCGAAAUAGGGGAGUCAUCAUCCAAGUGCGGAAUAAGCAGAACGAAGGCGUCCAGAUCCGGCUUCAGGUGGCCCAGACACGAAGUGACCGACAUCAGAAGACACAGAGGUCGGGUAAGCCCGCAAAACGUUGGAAUCAAGUGAAACUAAAUGUGCACAUCCUUUACUAUCCUAUGAAUUCCCCUCCAAAAUAUAUAAAUUUAUUGUUUAAAAUGUGAAUUUCCAA